ensembl:misc_RNA
AUCAAAGCGUCAUUUGGGAUCAACCACUUUCAAGUUAAAUACUUUGAUGAAGAUAAUGAAGAG